rnacentral:rRNA from 1 species
GACGAACGCUGGCGGCGUGCUUAACACAUGCAAGUCGAACGGAAAGGCCCUGCUUUUGUGGGGUGCUCGAGUGGCGAACGGGUGAGUAACACGUGAGUAACCUGUCCUUGACCUUGGGAUAACUUCAGGAAACUGGGGCUAUUACCGGAUAGGAGCUCUUGCUGCAUGGUGGGGGUUGGUAAGUUUCGGUGGUUGGGGAUGGACUCGCGGCCUAUCAGCUUGUUGGUGGGGUAGUGGCUUACCAAGGCUUUGACGGGUAGCCGACCUGAGAGGGUGACCGGCCACAUUAGGACUGAGAUACGGCGCAGACUCGUACGGGACGCAGCAGUGGAGAAUAUUACACAAUGGACGGGAGCCUGAUGCAGCAACGCCGCGUGCGGGAUGACGUGCUUCGAGUUGUGAACCACUGUCGCCUGAGACGAAGCGUGAGUGACGGUAAUGGGUAAAGAAGCACCGGCUAACUACGUG